GAACAGAAACACACAGACGCUCACUGUUGCUUCAUCUGGAGAUGAACUUGAGGAAGUAAGUGACUACGUUAAUAUAGAUGUGAGCACUGUGGACAAAAUGUCAGCCACCUCAGAUAAGAAGUGUGGCUCCUUCACUCAGAGUUUUCUACCAGUAGCAGUGAGUUGGGUGAUACUGUUGGUAAUCUUGGUCCUUCAUAUCUACUUUACAUCUGUCAUCUCUGAAAACAACAACAAGCUGACUGCAG